CCCUUAGAUGUUCUGGGCCGCACGCGCGCUACACUGACGAAUGCAACGAGCUUAUAACCUUGGCCGAAAGGUCUGGGUAAUCUCCAAAUUUCGUCGUGAUGGGGAUAGAUUAUUGCAAUUAUUAAUCUUCAACGAGGAAUGCCUAGUAAGCGCAAGUCAUCAGCUUGCGUUGAUUACGUCCCUGCCCUUUGUACACACCGCCCGUCGCUCCUACCGAUUGAAUGGUCCGGUGAAGCGUUCGGACCGUGGCCUUUGGACGGUUCGCCGUCUGUUGGCUGCGGGAAGUUCGUUAAACCUUAUCAUUUAGAGAAAGGAGAANUCGUANCA
rnacentral:rRNA from 1 species